UGAUAAUUCCACAGAGUCUAGGGACCACCACACAGACCUUGAUUCAUCUUCAACUGUUCUUUCAUGGAGGAAACCAAAAUGGCAGCAGAAGAAGAAGAAGAAAAGCCCCAAACUCAACCCGAAACCCUAAAACGGAUCCGAUUCGAAGAUCGAAUCAGUUCUUUACCAGACUGCUUACUCAUCGAAAUCCUCUCUCGUUUACCCUCCACAAAACACGCCCUUACAACCACCACACUCUCCAAACGCUGGCAACAUCUCUGGACCUCUCUUCACACUCUCAUCUUCACACAUCACAAAACCCACAAUCACCCACAAACCCAUUUCUAUUCCUACGUUGACAAAACCCUUUCUCAAUGUCACCACUUUAAACUCAACAAAUUAACAGUCUACACCUGUUACGACUACCGGUUUGAGUCACAGGUCAACAAUUGGAUCCGUUACGCCGUUAAUUGCAACGUCCAAGAGCUUAAUUUGACGUUGUGGAAUGUAGAAUGUGAAGCUGAGUUCUUACUGGACCAGUUCUUUUUCAACUGUUGUUGUUUUACUAAUCUGAAAUUGUCAGGAUGCGUGUUCAAUCCCAUAGGGGAUGUUAAGUGGAGUAAGCUUAACAAGUUAUGGAUUUCUCAUGCGAAUUUGGAUGAGGGUUUGAUUGAGAAUGUGUUGUCUGGGAGUCCUGUGUUGGAGACUUUGGUGUUGGAUAAUUGUUAUGGGUACAGGCGGGUUAAUAUUACGUCGAAGAGUGUUAAGAAGUUGGUGUUUUCUGGGUAUAUGGUUCCGGAUGAUGAUAAUGUUGAGGAUGUUGUUGAGAUUAAUGCUCCGGGUGUUUUGUCGCUGGCGAUUCAUGAUGAUUUGUUGUUGUGGAAGCUUUCGUUGGUGGAUGUGUCGUCGUUGGUUGAAGCGGAUUUGGAUUAUACCAAGGGUGGGCAUUAUGAUACAACAACGCCUAAAGAAGCCGAAGAAGAGAUGCUUAAAGGGUUUAUACUUGAUCUUCGACAUGUUAAGGAGCUUAAAAUUGGGAUUUUUUGUUUUAAGGUUUUGUGUCGUUUGGAAGCUAAAGGUUUCGUUUUUCCGUCGAACUUGAAGGUUCAUGAUGUUACUUCUUCGCCUUUAUACUCUGAUGAUGAUUCGAUGGGGUUUAGUGAUUGGUCCGAUAGUGAUUCUGCCGAAAGCAGAGAUUGGGAGGUGCUCUUGCUUGAUGAUGGUACUACAAGCGAUGAGGACGCGUUUGUUUCACUUGAUUAAUUGUAUGAACAAUCUGGUUGAAGCUGUAAGAGAAUUGAAACAAUAGCAGGUAUAUUGUGGCAGCUGUGGCGGAGCCUACUAAGAGGAUGGUGAGUUUCGGAUCAUGUGUGAAGUUUGUGAUCUAUGGUAUCAUGGCGAGUGUGUGAGUGUCACAAACUCAAUGGCCGAGAAGAUAGGCAAGUACGAAUGCCCUUCUUGCACCCUGAAACGAACCAACCGAGGCAAGAGUUGUGAAGCUAGUGGAAGCAAAUCUGGGACCCCCCUAAACGUAAACAAACAUGAUUUAAGUAGUUAGUUUAUUAAACAGGGGUCAAGUGACCCAUUUUCUUUUUAGUUAACUUGUUAUCAUGAUCAUAUAACCCAUUAAAUCCUCAUAUUUGCAGAGGUCAAAUGCUGGACAAAACUCAAACACUGUAGAAGAUAGUGUGAAGAGUGAAGAAAAACAAGAGCAAACAUAUUAUGGCAGCUGUGGCGGAGAGGAUGGUGAGUUUUGGAUAGGGUGUGAUGUUUGUAAGCUAUCGUAUCAUGGCGAGUGUGUGAGCAGACAUAAGCUGUGGCCAUUGAGUUUGUGACACUCACACACUUGCCAUGAUACCAUACCUUACAAACAUCACACCCUAUCCAAAACUCACCAUCCUCUCCGCCACAACUGCCACAAUAUGUUUGCUCUUGUUCUUCUUCACUCUCCACACUAUCUUCUACAGUGUUUGAGGUUUGUCCAGCACUUGACCUCUGCAAAUAUAAGGAUUUAAUGGGUUAUAUGAUCAUGAUAACAAGUUAACUAAAAAGAAAAUGGGUCACUUGACCCUUGUUUAAUAAACUAACUACUUAAUCAUGUUUGCUUACCUUUAGGGGGAUCCCAACUUUGCUUCCACUAGCUUCACAACUCUUGCCUCGGUUGGUUCAUUUCAGGGUGCAAGAAGGGCAUUAGUACUUGCCUAUCUUCUCGGCCAUUGAGUUUGUGACGCUCGCCAUGAUACCAUAGCUUACAAACAUCACACCCUAUCCAAAACCCACCAUCCUCUCCGCGACAGCUGCCACAAUAUGUAUGUUCUUGUUCUUCUUCUAUCUUCUACAGUGUUUGAGGACACGUUUGUUCAACUUGAUUAACGCUAGGAACAAUCUGGUUGAAGCUGUAAGAGAAUUGAAACAAGAGCAUGUAUAGUGUGGCAGCUGGAUGGUGAGUUUCGGAUCAUGUGUGAAGUUUGUGAUCUAUGGUAUCAUGGCGAGUGUCUGAGUGUCACAAACUCAAUGGCCGAGAAGAUAGGCAAGUACAAAUGCCCUUCCUGCACCGUGAAACGAACCAACCGAGGCAAGAGUUGUGAAACUAGUGGAAGCAAAUCUGGGAUCCCCCUAAACGUAAGCAAACAUGAUUUAAGCAGUUAGUUUAUUAAACAAGGGUCAAGUGACCCGUUUUCUUUUUAGUUUACUUGUUAUCAUGAUCAUAUAACCCAUUAAAUCCUCAUAUUUGCAGAGGUUAAGUGCUCAUAUUUGCAGAGGUUAAGUGCUGGACAAACCUCAAACACUAUAGAAGAUAGUGUGGAGAGUGAAGAAGAACAAGAACAAACAUAUUGUGGCAGCUGUGGCGGAGAGGAUGGUGAGUUUUGCAUAGGGUGUGAUGUUUGUAAGCUAUGGUAUCAUGACGAGUGUGUGAGCAGACAUAAGCUGUGGCCAUUGAGUUUGUGACACUCACACACACGCCAUGAUACCAUAGCUAACAAACAUCACACCCUAUCCAAAACUCACCUUCCUCUCCGCCACAGCUGCCAAAAUAUGUUUGCUCUUGUUCUUCUUCACUCUCCACACUAUCUUCUACAGUGUUUGAGGUUUGUCCAGCACUUGACCUCUGCAAAUAUGAGGAUUUAAUGGGUCAUAUGAUCAUGAUAACAAGUUAACUAAAAAGAAAACGGGCCACUUAACCCUUGUUUAUAAACUAACUACUUAAAUCAUGUUUGCUUACUUUUAGGGGGAUCCCAGCUUUGCUUUCACUAGCUUCACAACGCUUGCCUCGGUUGGUUCAUUUCAGGGUGCAGGAAGGGCAUUCGUACUUGCCUAUCUUCUCGGCCAUUCAGUAUGUGACACUUGCCAUGAUACCAUAGCUUACAAACAUCAGACCCUAUCCAAAACCCACCAUCCUCUCCGCCACAGCUGCCACAAUAUGUAUGUUCUUGUUCUUCUUCUAUCUUCUACAGUGUUUGAGGAAACAAAGUGCCAACCAAUGUGACACCGGACGCUGUGGCCAAGGUCGACUACUCGACUGCCGCUAUCCAUUCAAAACCUCUCAUUUUUCAUCAAAGAACCGUGACGGUUCGAAAAUAUGCGUCACUAUUUAAACAUUCAUCUCCUCCCUGUUAUAAGUAUUCCAGAUCGUGUUUUCUUACUUUCUCAUUUUUCUUCAAAGAACCUGAAUGUUGCUUCUGUUAUAAGUAUUUGAUAAUUUGUUUAUUUUGAGUUUUGAUUUGUUCUUUUAUGU